UACAGAGGUCCCAAGCGUUGUUCGGAUUCAUUGGGCGUAAAGGGUGCGUAGGCGGCGCGGUAAGUCGGGUGUGAAAUCUCGGGGCUUAACUCCGAAACUGCAUUCGAUACUGCCGUGCUUGAGGACUGGAGAGGAGACUGGGAAUUUACGGUGUAGCGGUGAAAUGCGUAGAUAUCGUAAGGAAGACCAGUGGCGAAGGCGGGUCUCUGGACAGUUCCUGACGCUGAGGCACGAAGGUCAGGGGGAGCAAACGGGG
rnacentral:rRNA from 1 species